rnacentral:rRNA from 1 species
UACGAAGGGGGCUAGCGUUGUUCGGAAUUACUGGGCGUAAAGGGCGCGUAGGCGGCGUGUCAAGUCAGGCGUGAAAGCCCAGAGCUCAACUCUGGAAUGGCCUUUGAGACUAGAGAACUAGGGUACGGGAGAGGUGAGUGGAAUUCCGAGUGUAGAGGUGAAAUUCGUAGAUAUUCGGAAGAACACCAGUGGCGAAGGCGGCUCACUGGCCCGUUACCGACGCUCAGGCGCGACAGCGUGGGGAGCAAACAGG